GGUUAAGUUAAUAAGGGCGCACGGUGGAUGCCUUGGCACUAGAAGCCGAUGAAGGACGUGACUAACGACGAAAUGCCUUGGGGAGCUGUAAGUAAGCAAUGAUCCAGGGAUGUCCGAAUGGGGGAACCCGGCAGGUAAUGCCUGUCACUCACUACUGUUAAGGUAGUGAAGAGGAAGACGCAGUGAACUGAAACAUCUAAGUAGCUGCAGGAAGAGAAAGCAAAAGCGAUUGCCUUAGUAGCGGCGAGCGAAACGGCAGGAGGGCAAACCGAGGAGUUUACUCCUCGGGGUUGUAGGACUGCAAUGUGGACUUAAAGAGUAUAGAAGAACUACCUGGGAAGGUAGGCCAAAGAGAGUAAUAGCCUCGUAUUUAAAAUAUUUUUUAUACCUAGCAGUAUCCUGAGUACGGCGAGACACGCGAAAUCUCGUCGGAAUCCGGGAGGACCAUCUCCCAACCCUAAAUACUCUCUAGUGACCGAUAGUGAACCAGUACCGUGAGGGAAAGGUGAAAAGUACCCCGGAAGGGGAGUGAAAUAGAACCUGAAACCGUGUGCCUACAACAAGUUCGAGCCCGUUAAUGGGUGAGAGCGUGCCUUUUGUAGAAUGAACCGGCGAGUUACGAUAUGAUGCGAGGUUAAGUUGAAGAGACGGAGCCGUAGGGAAACCGAGUCUUAAUAGGGCGGAUUAGUAUUAUGUCGUAGACCCGAAACCAUGUGACCUACCCAUGAGCAGGUUGAAGGUGCGGUAAGACGCACUGGAGGACCGAACCAGGGCACGUUGAAAAGUGCUUGGAUGACUUGUGGGUAGCGGAGAAAUUCCAAACGAACUUGGAGAUAGCUGGUUCUCUCCGAAAUAGCUUUAGGGCUAGCGUCGACAUUUGAGAAUCUUGGAGGUAGAGCACUGUUUGGAUGAGGGGGCCAUCUCGGUUUACUGAUUUCAGAUAAACUCCGAAUGCCAAUGAUUUAUGGUCGGCAGUCAGACUGCGAGUGCUAAGAUCCGUAGUCGAAAGGGAAACAGCCCAGACCACCAGCUAAGGUCCCAAAAUAAUUGUUAAGUGGAAAAGGAUGUGGGGUUGCACAGACAACUAGGAUGUUAGCUUAGAAGCAGCUAUUCAUUCAAAGAGUGCGUAAUAGCUCACUAGUCGAGUGACCCUGCGCCGAAAAUGUACCGGGGCUAAAACAAUUUACCGAAGCUGUGGAUAACACUUUAGUGUUAUGGUAGGAGAGCGUUCUAUGUGUGAAGAAGGUAUACCGUGAGGAGUGCUGGAACGCAUAGAAGUGAGAAUGCCGGUAUGAGUAGCGAAAGAUGGGUGAGAAUCCCAUCCACCGUAAGACUAAGGUUUCCAGGGGAAGGCUCGUCCGCCCUGGGUUAGUCGGGACCUAAGGAGAGACCGAAGGGUGUAUCCGAUGGACAACAGGUUGAUAUUCCUGUACUAGAGUAUGAAGUGAUGGAGGGACGCAGUAGGCUAACUAAAGCGGGCGAUUGGAAGUGCCCGUCUAAGCAGUGAGGUGUGAUAUGAGUCAAAUGCUUGUAUCUGUAACAUUGAGCUGUGAUGGGGAGCGAAGUUAAGUAGCGAAGUUAGUGACGUCACACUGCCGAGAAAAGCUUCUAGCGAUGUAUCAUACUCUACCCGUACCGCAAACCGACACAGGUAGUCGAGGCGAGUAGCCUCAGGUGAGCGAGAGAACUCUCGUUAAGGAACUCGGCAAAAUGACCCCGUAACUUCGGGAGAAGGGGUGCUGGCUUAAAGUCAGCCGCAGUGAAUAGGCCCAAGCAACUGUUUAUCAAAAACACAGCUCUCUGCUAAAUCGUAAGAUGAUGUAUAGGGGGUGACGCCUGCCCGGUGCUGGAAGGUUAAGAGGAGGGUUUAGCGCAAGCGAAGAUCUGAAUUGAAGCCCCAGUAAACGGCGGCCGUAACUAUAACGGUCCUAAGGUAGCGAAAUUCCUUGUCGGGUAAGUUCCGACCNNNNNNNNNNNNNNNNNNNNNNNNNNNNNNNNNNNNNNNNNNNNNNNNNNNNNNNNNNNNNNNNNNNNNNNNNNNNNNNNNNNNNNNNNNNNNNNNNNNNGCACGAAAGGCGUAAUGAUUUGGGCACUGUCUCAACGAGAGACUCGGUGAAAUUUUAGUACCUGUGAAGAUGCAGGUUACCCGCGACAGGACGGAAAGACCCCAUGGAGCUUUACUGCAGUUUGAUAUUGAGUAUCUGUACCACAUGUACAGGAUAGGUAGGAGCCUACGAAGUCGGGACGCCAGUUUCGACUGAGGCGCUGUUGGGAUACUACCCUUGUGUUAUGGCUACUCUAACCCGGAUAGGUUAUCCCUAUCGGAGACAGUGUCUGACGGGCAGUUUGACUGGGGCGGUCGCCUCCUAAAAGGUAACGGAGGCGCCCAAAGGUUCCCUCAGAAUGGUUGGAAAUCAUUCGCAGAGUGUAAAGGUAUAAGGGAGCUUGACUGCGAGAGCUACAACUCGAGCAGGGACGAAAGUCGGGCUUAGUGAUCCGGUGGUUCCGUAUGGAAGGGCCAUCGCUCAACGGAUAAAAGCUACCCUGGGGAUAACAGGCUUAUCUCCCCCAAGAGUUCACAUCGACGGGGAGGUUUGGCACCUCGAUGUCGGCUCGUCGCAUCCUGGGGCUGUAGUCGGUCCCAAGGGUUGGGCUGUUCGCCCAUUAAAGCGGCACGCGAGCUGGGUUCAGAACGUCGUGAGACAGUUCGGUCCCUAUCCGUCGCGGGCGUAGGAAAUUUGAGAGGAUCUGCUCCUAGUACGAGAGGACCAGAGUGGACUUACCGCUGGUGUACCAGUUGUCUUGCCAAAGGCAUCGCUGGGUAGCUAUGUAGGGACGGGAUAAACGCUGAAAGCAUCUAAGUGUGAAACCCACCUCAAGAUGAGAUUUCCCAUAACUUUAUGUUAGUAAGAGCCCUGAGAGAUGAUCAGGUAGAUAGGUUGGAAGUGGAAGUGUGGCGACACAUGUAGCGGACCAAUACUAAUCGCUCGAGGACUUAUCCAA
rnacentral:rRNA from 1 species